GCCAGGCCCAGCCUAGUCACGAGGCUCUCCGCUCUGUCACCUCGCGCCGCAUCCUGAAACGUCGCUUUCUUCCCUAAAAAAAAUGUCACUCUCCCCUUCCUCCAUCGCCUCCAGCUCCAGUGCUCCAUCCGCCAUCGCCUCAAGUGUUCCCUCCGCCAUCGCCGGCGCACGGCACUGACCGGAAAACACGCUCUCAGAUAGGCGCCAGUACCGCCGCCGCUUCCAGGUUUGGAGCGCCCUUGACCGGCAGCCGGCCUCCAUUGCCCCGGCCAGGUCGCAGGUGUAGCUCCAAGAACAGGUGUUUUGUGGCGUGUAUUGAUGACCAAUAGCGAAUACGAGUAUGUGAAGAGGGAAUUCGAGUUCGACCGUCACCUCCCAGCCUCCAACUGGAUCAUUGUGCGCUUCGAUGGCUGUCAUUUCCACCGUUUUGUUUUCAGAGGGAACAUAAUUCUAUCACAGAUUUCUCUACCAAUAAUUGCAGCAAAAUUCUCUCUGUGUGUGUUUCUUACUUCACAUCUGUGUGUGUGAUGAAGUGGAAAGAUUUCUUUCCCAAAUAAAGAGUUGAGAGAGGCUCCAUAUUUUGAUGGGCGAGUUGUCUGCUAUCCAAAUAUGAAGACGAUUCAUGAUUAUUUGGCAUGGAGGCAACUGGACUGGAACAUUUCCUAAGGACAAAAACGAGUUGCUUUCACAACAGUUCCAAAUCAUCCAUGAUGAUGAACCAGCUAUGUUCUGAAAAGGAUCCAGCGUUUAUCGAGAUAACGUAAAGGUGUCAACCAUACAAAAGGAAAUCAUCAUUAAUGUUCCUACUCAUUCUCACUGAGAUAUUUUCCAUGUUUCUGUCGCAAGAUAUCGUUUGCACGAUUUAUACAAAUGACCAUCAUAGUUUCUAAUCAUAACUUGGUGCAGAGAUCAACCUAGCAUUUCUGAAUUCGCAUCUGAUAUCCAGAUAGUUAAAUGUAAACAGUCUUGCUAUACAUUAGUUUUGAGGGAUAAUCGGAACUCCUUAUUUGGCAUUUCACGCCAUUCCCUUGUCUGAUAUUGGUCGAAUGAUAUAAUUCUUCUAAUCAGUUGUGCAGAUUACAUAAUGUAUUUCUUUUGUGGGUCUGAUUGUUGAAUGAUGUUAUUUUGUGGGACAUGUUUUCCUCAACUCUUAGUUAAGAUCAAUUAACCCUGUAAGGUGCUCUUUCGAAUACCAAAUGGUGAAAAUCGACGACUAUGGGAAUCCCAUAGAAAGAACCCGGUUGGCAAUUACAGUGUCAAUUUUUGAUAACAUAGGACCUGAGUUUUGGGAAAAACGUCAAAACAUUCUUCGAGAAGGCCACAACAGGAUCCAGUACAAGACAUGCUUUUGGAUGCUAGUGAAGUCCCGAAAGGGCGAAAACGAAGCUUGCGAUAUGCUGAAGUCUUCUUUCAUCAUCUACGUCAAAGGACAAGAACGAGCUGCUCUUUCAGCCAUUUGAAAUGAACUACAACAACGAACCGGCCAUGUACUGAAAGGCUUCAUGUGCUUACCGUGAAAAGAGCGGAUGGCUGCAGGUGGACGAUGCUGCGAGUGGGCGGUGGCGCACGUCGACAUGAGGCCAGAGUUUUGGAGAACGCAUCCUCGUGGUCGCCCUUCAUCGGCAGCAGCACCAGGCGGCAGCCGGCCACCGGCCACGAGCCCCUCCACCACGGAGCUCAGCCCGGCGUGGUUCACGAAGCACCCCACGCUGCGGUGCCGCAGGAUGUGCUGCUGCUGCACCCACCCCGUGUGCACCACGUCCUUGCCCUUGGUCCUCCUGGCGAAGAACGGUCGGUUGGUGGAUUCUAGGCCGAGGAGGAGCUCCGUCGCGGCGGCGGACAGGAGGAACGUCUCGCUCUCGAAGGAGGCGAACACGACAGCGUUGUCCGGGAAGGAGGAGAGCCACUUGGCCCACCGCUCCUCGAGCUCGCCCUGCGGCGGCUCCGGCACGACCGGGCCCGUGACGAGCACCGGCUUGCCGUGCUGGCGGCGAGGUAGUUGAUGUAGGGGCCUUCCAUCUCGAAGCACGUCUUGAUCAGGAGGGCGUCACUGGCCUCGACGGCGGCGAGGACGCGGUCGUACACGCACGGUUCGCCGUGGAAGCUGGUGAACACGUAGCUGAAGUCGGCGGCCUGGUAGGCCGGCACGGUGGCUUUCUUAGCAGGAACAGGUGAUAACUUAAGUACCAGGAGGAGUACUAGUUCUCAUCAUUGUCUCGAAGAGAACGUGACGGUUUAUUACGGUCUACAAGGUCCGGCGUUCGAUCUCUGGACCGUGUAUUAUAUUAGCGAUAUUUUAUCGAUCGAAUAAACCUCUGGUGGGCCGGAUACUGUGUCAGCGCGCGUGCAUGCCGAGUCGGCCCAUGCGGACGAGCGCACAGGUCGUAUGCUCUAAAAAUUGUCCCACCUCGCCUGCUGUGGGGCGCUGUGCCCAGUUUAUAUACUGCCUUCCUCCAAUCGUAUUACCUCCAUGUGGGCAACCAGCCGAGAAAGAGGCCUUAGAGCCCACACAAAAAAGAAAGAGGCUUCAGAGCCCACGAGAAAAAAAGAGAGUAAAGAGGUCUUUAUUAGUUUCCACAAAAGAAAAAGAGCCAGAAACGGAAAAAUGGACCGAGGCCAGAGCCAACCAAAAAAAGAGGAGCCCACGAGAAAAAAAAGAAAAAGAGGCCUUUAUUUAGAGCCCACGAGAAAAAAAAGAAAAAGAGGCUCUUUU